GUGCGUGGCCGCCCGGGGCCAUGGCGACACUCAGCUUCGUCUUCCUGCUGCUGGGGGCAGUGUCCUGGCCUCCGGCUUCUGCCUCCGGCCAGGAGUUCUGGCCCGGACAGUCGGCGGCCGAUAUUCUGUCGGGGGCGGCUUCCCGCAGACGGUAUCUUCUGUAUGACGUCAACCCCCCGGAAGGCUUCAACCUGCGCAGGGAUGUCUAUAUCCGAAUCGCCUCUCUCCUGAAGACUCUGCUGAAGACGGAGGAGUGGGUGCUUGUCCUGCCUCCAUGGGGCCGCCUCUAUCACUGGCAGAGUCCUGACAUCCACCAGGUCCGGAUUCCCUGGUCUGAGUUUUUUGAUCUUCCAAGUCUCAAUAAAAACAUCCCCGUCAUCGAGUAUGAGCAGUUCAUCGCAGAGUCUGGUGGGCCCUUUAUUGACCAGGUUUACGUCCUACAAAGUUACGCAGAGGGGUGGAAAGAAGGGACCUGGGAAGAGAAGGUGGACGAGCGGCCGUGUAUUGAUCAGCUCCUGUACUCCCAGGAUAAGCACGAGUACUACAGGGCUCAGCCUCCAUCGUGGCGCCCCUGCUG
rnacentral:sRNA from 1 species